rnacentral:rRNA from 1 species
AUGUCUCUGAGUCGCGCCAAAGCUUUUAUGCCAGAGAUGGAACCGGUUGAAAUGCUUGAUGGCUUUCCAGAAUUGAAGGAAGACGGCAGUCAAUUUUAUCAAGAAGAUUAUGCCCGUUGUAUGAAGGAGACUCGCUUCUUGGAGACUCAAAUAGUUGAAAAUCUCGAUCUGAGACGCUAUCAGGCGGCUUAUGAUGAAGAGAAUGCGCGGGUCAACCCGCCAACUUUUGAGCCUUUUGAUUUGACUCCUGCACGGCAUAAGCAUAUCUUCGCUCCUGAUGUUGACAUGUCUAUUAUCAUGCAAGACGAUGCUGUCUUCCAAGCUUUAACGACUAUCGACUGGAAUCUGAACAACCUUCAGAUCGGAGAAGAAGAAGCGGCGCGGGAUAACCCGGAGCCAUCAAAUGCUGGAGAUCGUCAAGAAGGAGUUAACCCGGAGAGCAACAACCUGGACGGCACCGAGGCUGGCUUGCAGGAGUAG